rnacentral:rRNA from 1 species
GCAUAUCAAUAAGCGGAGGAAAAGAAACCAACAGGGAUUGCCUCAGUAACGGCGAGCGAAGCGGCAAAAGCUCAAAUUUGAAAUCUGGCGUCUUUCUUAGGCGUCCGAGUUGUAAUUUGAAGAUGGCAACUUUGGGAUUGGCUCUCGCAUAUGUUCCUUGGAAACAGGACGUCAUAGAGGGUGAGAACCCCGUUCAUGGCGAGAUGACCCAAUUCUAUGUAAAGUGCUUUCUAAGAGUCGAGUUGUUUGGGAAUGCAGCUCUAAGUGGGUGGUAAAUUCCAUCUAAGGCUAAAUAUUGGCGAGAGACCGAUAGCGAACAAGUACAGUGAUGGAAAGAUGAAAAGAACUUUGAAAAGAGAGUGAAAAAGUACGUGAAAUUGUUGAAAGGGAAGGGCUUGAAAUCAGACUUGGUAUUCAGUGAUCAACUGUCUCUCGGGACUGUGCACUCGCUGUUUACUGGGCCAACAUCGGUUUAGAGGGUGAGAUAAAAGCUAGAGAAUGUGGCACUGCUUCGGUAGUGUGUUAUAGCUCUGGUCAAUAUCACCACUCUAGACCGAGGACUGCGCUUUAUGCUAGGAUGUUGGCGUAAUGAUUUUAAGCCACCCGUCUUGAAACACGGACCAAGGAGUCUAACGUCUAUGCGAGUGUUUGGGUGUAAAACCCGUACGCGUAAUGAAAGUGAACGUAGAUGAGAGCCCUUAAGGGUGCAUCAUCGACCGAUCCUGAUGUUUUCGGAUGGAUUUGAGUAAGAGCAUAGCUGUUGGGACCCGAAAGAUGGUGAACUAUGCCUGAAUAGGGUGAAGCCAGAGGAAACUCUGGUGGAGGCUCGUAGCGAUUCUGACGUGCAAAUCGAUCGUCAAAUUUGGGUAUAGGGGCGAAAGACUAAUC